rnacentral:rRNA from 1 species
UGGGGAAUAUUGGACAAUGGGGGCAACCCUGAUCCAGCAAUGCCGCGUGUGUGAUGAAGGCCUUAGGGUUGUAAAGCACUUUCACUGGCGAAGAUGAUGACGGUAACCAGAGAAGAAGCCCCGGCUAACUUCGUGCCAGCAGCCGCGGUAAUACGAAGGGGGCGAGCGUUGUUCGGAAUUACUGGGCGUAAAGGGCGCGUAGGCGGUCUUUUAAGUUAGGCGUGAAAGCCCCGGGCUCAACCUGGGAACUGCGCUUAAAACUGGAAGACUAGAAACGGAAGAGGGUAGUGGAAUUCCCAGUGUAGAGGUGAAAUUCGUAGAUAUUGGGAAGAACACCAGUGGCGAAAGCG